CCUACGGGAGGCUGCAGUGGGGAAUAUUGGACAAUGGGCGGAACCCUGAUCCAGCGACGCCGCGUGAGUGAAGAAGUAUUUCGGUAUGUAAAGCUCUAUCAGCAGGGAAGAAAAUGACGGUACCUGACUAAGUAUCCCCGGCUAACUACGUGCCAGCAGCCGCGGGAAUACGUAGGGGGCAAGCGUUAUCCGGAUUUAUGGGGUUUAAAGGGAGCGUAGACGGUGCAGCAAGUCUGAUGUGAAAGGUCGGGGCCCAACCCCGGGACUGCAUUUGAAACUGUUGAACUGGAGUACAGGAGAGGUAAGCGGAAUUCGUGGUGUAGCGGUGAAAUGCGUAGAUAUUAGGAAGAACACCAGUGGCGAAGGCAGCUUACUGGACUGUAACUGACGUUGAGGCUCGAAAGCGUGGGGAGCAAACAGGAUUAGAUACCCUGGUAGUC
rnacentral:rRNA from 1 species